GCCGACGUAGCUCAGCUGGUAGAGCAGCUGAUUUGUAAUCAGCAGGUCGCGGGUUCGAGUCCCAUCGUCGGCU
rnacentral:tRNA from 1 species